GAUAUCAACUGAAAAAGUCAUCAACAACAAAGUUGAAUAACUCAUCAAGAUCUAAAACUUUUAUUUUGGUCAUUUCUUCAUACGACAAAGUGAUAGUAACAUUAUUCACAAAAUUGACAUAUCUCUUAUCUGGUUUUAUAAACUAUAACACAUAUAUGUAAAAUUUUGUGAAUAAUAUUACUAACGUUUCGUCGGAUGAAGAAAUAACAAAAGUAAAAGUUUUAGAUCUCUAUGAGUUAUUCAGUUAUUCAACUUUGUUGUUCAUGACUUUUUCAAUUGAAAUC
rnacentral:pre_miRNA from 1 species